AUGCUUACUGCCAUUGCUAUUUAUCAUAUUACGCCCCUGGAAUUGCCGGUGGAAGUGAGGAAGAAGAUUGACAGUUUGCGACGCGCCUACCUUUGGGCGGGUUGUGACAAGGUGACCGGUGGAAAAUGCAAGGUCAACUGGGAACUUGUCUGCAAGCCCAAGAUCUUCGGUGGUUUGGGCAUCCUCAACCUGGAGAAGUUUGCUACUGCCCUUCGAUUGCGAUGGCUCUGGUAUGAAUGGGCUAACCCACCCAAGACUUGGGUUGGGAUGGGAACGCCGUGCAAUGACAAUGAUAGGGACAUUUUUGCGGCGGCCACCACGGUUCACAUUGGAGAUGGAAGAAAGGCAAAGUUCUGGGAAUCAUCCUGGCUCCAAGGCAUGAGACCCAAAGAUAUUGCUCCUAGGAUCUUUGACCUCUCGAGGAAGAAAUCUUGCUCGGUCCAAAUUGCUCUCCUCAACAAUUUUUGGGUUAGUCAGAUUGAUACCCAUCAUGGAAUCACCCUGGAGCACCUACAGGAGUUCAGCACACUUAGGGAGAAACUAUCCUCUGUUAUUCUCAAAUAG
rnacentral:rRNA from 1 species